AGCAAAGAGGUAAACGCAUGCCGCGCCAAAACACUCGGCCGGCUCCUGCCAUCCCAGACUCGACAAACGCAGCCUUUGCGCCGUCACGGUGUUUACGAUUAAUUUAAUAUUCCCGUCUGGAGUUGUUCUGCAUCGUCUGGAGCUCCCGCCCUCCCCCGCCUCGGCGGUGCUGGGGAGCGUUAGGGAGGCCAAGGUCUCCCUGGCAAGCGUCGCGGGGCUCAGGGGUUCCGGCAGGGCGUCUCGGCUCCCUUGGGGCGUUCAUGGCGGUGCCGGAGAUCCCGAGUGUCCAGGGGCGUUGGGAGGGGAGUGCGUUUGCUGCUGUGUGUUUGUAUGGGCGGGUCUUUUCUGGGGUGAAGGAGACUCAUUCGUAUCAGCACACGGCACCAAGGAAGGGCGAUUUCAGAACAACUCCACGACAGGGAUAUUACAGAUAAAAACACCGAAAAUAAGGAGAAUAAACUAAAGGAACUUCAGAAAUAGGAUAAUACAGGAGAAGAAUUCCAGGAAAUAAAUAAGACAAGCAGAGAUGAGAAAAAAUACAACAAAAACACACAAAAUCCAGCAUGAAGGCCUUCGGUGUGGUAUACUGGUAUGGGUGAGCCUCCUUUGGGGUGAAGGAGACCCCUGUAGCAAGAUACGGCACCAGGUGGAGGCGAUGUAGAUACUCUACACAACACACGACAAAUAAAGAAAGAUAAAACCGGAGAUGGGAUAAUGCAGAAAAGGAAUGCCAGAAAAAAAAUCAGAUACAAAACACAACAUUAGCAAAACGAACAGCUAGGAUUAAGGAUUUUGGUGUGGUAUGUUGGCACGGGCGAGGUUUCUCGGGGGUGAAGGAGACUCGUCUGUAGCAGGAUACGGCACCAAGAAAAGCCGAUAUACAGUAGAAGCAGCACCAGAAACAUGAAAAUGAAGAGAUGCUGACCCUGACUUAAUUGUCGGGGUGGGAUGCUGACCCCAGCUUGAAUGUUGGGGUGGGAUGCUGACCCUGACUUAAUUGUCGGGAUGGGAUGCCGACCCCAGCUUGAAUGUUGGGGUGGGAUGCUGACCCCAGCUUGAAUGUUGGGGUGGGAUGCUGACCCCAGCUUGAAUGUUGGGGUGGGAUGCUGACCCUGACGUAAAUGUCGGGGUGGGAUCCUAACCUUUAAAGGAAGGAAAAUGAGUCGUAGCGAUGUCGUAGUUUUAUCGACAAAGGAAUCAACAUUUUGGGAACAAAGAAAGGAUAACGAGUUAUUGUGACGUGUUUUUAUCGACAAAGGAAUCAACGUUUUGGAAACAAAGAAAGGAUAACGAGUUAUUGUGAUGUGUUUUUAUCGACAAAGGAAUCGACGUUUUGGAAACAGAGAAAGGAAAAUAUGUUUUUGAGUUCGUUUAGUU